UCCCCGUUCUCCUGGGCAGUCUCUCCAGAGUUCUCGGCUUGACCCGUUAGUAACUGAAGACAGGGGUUGCGCUCGUUGCUGGACUUAACCAAACACCUCACGGCACGAGCUGACGACAGCCAUGCAGCACCUAUAUAGAGACCCUUUCGGGAAAUAUUGUCUCCAAUAUCAUCCUCUACAUUUCGAGCCCAGGUAAGGUUCUUCGCGUUGCAUCGAAUUAAACCACAUGCUCCACUGCUUGUGCGGGCCCCCGUCAAUUCUUUUGAGUUUCACCCUUGCGAGCGUACUCCCCAGGCGGCAUACUUAAUGCGUUAGCUCCGGUACAGAAAGGGUUGAGCCCUCCUACACCUAGUAUGCAUCGUUUAAGGCAAGGACUAC
rnacentral:misc_RNA from 1 species